UUCUUGAGUAAUUUGAUCCAUAUUUAAUUUCUUCUGAGCAUUUGGAUUCUAAUAUCACUAUCAAAAUCCAUAUCAGCGUAAAUCUUAUCUGUAUGUAUAGUUUGAAGUUGUACAAGGGUCUUUACAGCUCAGUUCGGGGUAUUUUGGCGAGCGUAGCUCGGCCUGAAACGGCGUUUUAUCCCGCGGCUAGCGCAAAGGCGUCUCCUUCGGGCGUCGGCUUGGGCCGUCGCGGGGUGGCCUAAAGGGCAGGACGGAAGCUCACUGGAGUGAGCGAUGCUUAGACAGAAUAUAAUUUUUAUAAUCGCACGAGAACCUCGAUAUCUACCAGAAGGCGUUUGAAAUGAUCGAGAAUUACUUUGGCACUGAGAUUGAGGACAGCCGGCUCGCUCGCGAGGUGUCUUCCACGACAUACCAGUUCAAUUUCAUCGCGGAGCAAGCGAUACCGAUGGGCGGAUACCUGUUUUAAACGCUUAUAUUGUGCAGUAUGUAUUUUAGGUAAUUUAAUGGUUCUUGGUGGUUUAGGCAAGCGCAUCCAAGCAAGCAACAAAGCAAAUCCACAAAGUAAUUGUAAUUUUUAACAGGCAAACACAGCAUGCUUUCCACUGCGUAUAAAUAACUAUUACUAAUAGAAUACUUACAAACUAAAAAUGUAUGACAUGAUAAAAUAUUUUGCUAUUUAUCAUUUGUGCUCUUUUAUAGACUUCGAUUUUCAGAUGUCUAACAAGGCAAGGGUUUGCUUUGGCGAGUUGUCUACACCAGAGUGUAAUAAUAAAGUCAAAAAUCAUUUAUUCAUAUAAGUAACACAAUGUAUUCUUAUGAACGUCAAUAAAAAAGAAAUAUACAUCGAA